AUCAGGUAGAAGUGAAAACUGCAGAGUUCGUAGGGUCAGAGUUGAAUACCUACAGUAUGUUGGUUUCAUCUAACAUGAGGAUACAGAGGAGACGAGGAGAAGUGGCUAUAGUCUACUAAGAGACAGCCCAGCUAGCGGUUUGUGGUCUGUGACUCAAUUCCUGUCAGAGAGAGACGCUGAGGAGAAAAACACUUUACUUUCGUCUCUACACGUGUGACAGGAACUGUCCAAACCCUUCAGGUGAUACAUCAUCAAUAUGCCAUCGAUCUGCAUUCAGCUCUAUGUCCUGGGCCUCCUGGUGCUGAUGGGGUCAAGAGCAGAGGACGUUUCUGUUGAAGGCAGCAUAUCCAUCAAGACCACCUCCACUUCUACUGAUACCCCCUCUACAGCCAGCCCGAGCCCCUCUACAGCCAGCCUGAGCCCCUCUACAUUCAACCUGACCCCCUCUACAUUCAACCUGACCCCCUCUAUAGCCAGCCAGACCCCCUCUACAUUCAACCUGAGCCCCUCUAUAGCCAGCCAGACCCCCUCUACAUUCAACCUGACCCCCUCUACAUUCAACCUGAGCCCCUCUACAUUCAACCUGAGCCCCUCUACAGCCAACCAGACCGCCCAGACUACAUCGUCAGGGUUGACAGCCCUCAGCCAAUCACAGGGCAGGGAGACCACUGCAACCACGGAAACCACAACAUCAUUACCAAUUUCAGCUACAAGAGGAAGUGACAUUGCAGGCUAUGUAAUCCUGUUUCUCAUAUUGUUGGCUGUUGUGUGUCUGGUGGUGAUUCUCUAUAUCCUGAGGAAGAAGUCCAGGAGGUACUCGUUUGAUCUGCAGUAUCCAGGUUAUGACCACGACACCCCCCUCACCUGCAUGGAACAACCCGGAACCUUCGAACCCAACAACGAUCAGGAGAUCUGGGAGUCUGAGAGAGAGGGUGGUGAUGAGGAUCGCCAUGCUAUGAGCCCUGUAGCUAACGGCUCAGCUAUGGGGGCUGGAGAGACUGGUUCUACAGGGGAGAACGGUAAGGAGAGACUGGUUCUACAGGGGAGAACGGUAAGGAGAGACUGGUUCUACAGGGGAGAACGGUAAGGAGAGACUGGUUCUACAGGGGAGAACGGUAAGGAGAGACUGGUUCUACAGGGGAGAACGGUAAGGAGAGACUGGUUCUACAGGGAGAACGGUAAGGAGAGACUGGUUCUACAGGGGAGAACGGUAAGGAGAGACUGGUUCUACAGGGGAGAACGGUAAGGAGAGACUGGUUCUACAGGGGAGAACGGUAAGGAGAGACUGGUUCUACAGGGGAGAACGGUAAGGAGAGACUGGUUCUACAGGGGAGAACGGUAAGGAGAGACUGGUUCUACAGGGGAGAACGGUAAGGAGAGACUGGUUCUACAGGGGAGAACGGUAAGGAGAGACUGGUUCUACAGGGGAGAACGGUAAGGAGAGACUGGUUCUACAGGGGAGAACGGUAAGGAGAGACUGGUUCUACAGGGGAGAACGGUAAGGAGAGACUGGUUCUACAGGGGAGAACGGUAAGGAGAGACUGGUUCUACAGGGGAGAACGGUAAGGAGAGACUGGUUCUACAGGGGAGAACGGUAAGGAGAGACUGGUUCUACAGGGGAGAACGGUAAGGAGAGACUGGUUCUACAGGGGAGAACGGUAAGGAGAGACUGGUUCUACAGGGAGAACGGUAAGGAGAGACUGGUUCUACAGGGGAGAACGGUAAGGAGAGACUGGUUCUACAGGGAGAACGGUAAGGAGAGACUGGUUCUACAGGGGAGAACGGUAAGGAGAGACUGGUUCUACAGGGGAGAACGGUAAGGAGAGACUGGUUCUACAGGGGAGAACGGUAAGGAGAGACUGGUUCUACAGGGGAGAACGGUAAGGAGAGACUGGUUCUACAGGGGAGAACGGUAAGGAGAGACUGGUUCUACAGGGGAGAACGGUAAGGAGAGACUGGUUCUACAGGGGAGAACGGUAAGGAGAGACUGGUUCUACAGGGGAGAACGGUAAAGGAGAGACUGGUUCUACAGGGGAGAACGGUAAGGAGAGACUGGUUCUACAGGGGAGAACGGUAAGGAGAGACUGGUUCUACAGGGGAGAACGGUAAGGAGAGACUGGUUCUACAGGGGAGAACGGUAAGGAGAGACUGGUUCUACAGGGGAGAACGGUAAGGAGAGACUGGUUCUACAGGGGAGAACGGUAAGGAGAGACUGGUUCUACAGGGGAGAACGGUAAGGAGAGACUGGUUCUACAGGGAGAACGGUAAGGAGAGACUGGUUCUACAGGGAGAACGGUAAGGAGAGACUGGUUCUACAGGGGAGAACGAAGGAGAGAAGCAGGCUCAUGGUGAUAGUGAUGGAGACAGCUUCAACAACUUCUGUGCCAGUGAUGUCACUCCGCCCAUAAAAAGGGUU